rnacentral:rRNA from 1 species
ACUCAAAUGAAUUGACGGGGGCUCACACAAGCGGUGGAGCAUGUGGCUUAAUUCGAGGCUACGCGAAGAACCUUAUCCUGGACUUGACAUGUGCGAAAGCGGUAGGAAGUAGCGGCCGGAAACGGCCCGCCAACGGUAUCCAAUCCGGAACCUACUACAGGUGCUGCAUGGCUGUCGUCAGCUCGUGUCGUGAGAUGUUGGGUUAAGUCCCGUAACGAGCGAAACCCUUGUUUCCAGUUGCCAGCGAGUAAUGUCGGGGACUCUGGAAAGACUGCCGGUGUCAAACCGGAGGAAGGCGGGGAUGACGUCAAGUCCUCAUGGCCUUUAUGUCCAGGGCUGCACACGUGCUACAAUGGCGUUUACAGAGGGACGCAAACUCGCGAGAGGGAGCUAAUCCCAAAAAACACGCCUCAGUUCAGAUCGAAGGCUGCAACUCGCCUUCGUGAAGCUGGAAUCGCUAGUAAUCGCGGGUCAGCAACACCGCGGUGAAUGUGUUCCUGGGCCUUGUACACACCGCCCGU